rnacentral:lncRNA from 1 species
GCCAGCUAGAUCAUACAAAAUCUAUUUUAAAUGAGUUUCCUCUACAGUUUUGGGGAAUUCAAUAUCACAACGUCACAUACACCUCAUAUCAAUAUAUUAGGUGCGAUAAAAUAAGAUUUACAUAUAAUAUUCUGCUCUUGAUGAUCAUAAUCCAAUAUAAUAUAUUAUAAUCCAUUCCAAUUGAAUAAAUUAAUAUGGAGGAUGGGGAAGUGGGAGUGGGGUACAGGUUAACGUGGCAUAUGAAACCGAAUUUAAAUUAAGAAAUUGUGUUUGGCUGAGAACAAAAAUGCAUCUAUUUACCUGUAAAAAUGUAGCAAAAUACAUUUUCUCCUGUUCAUCUUAUCUACAUAUACUCUACUUUGCAGACGGGAGUUGAUUAACAUUUAUACAAUGAGUUUCUACCAAACCAAUAAUAUGUCACACAGAUGUAAGUUUCCUUGAAUCUUUACAUUGUUAAUGUUGAAAAAAAGGAACCCAAGAUAGUUUGUCUUUUUUAUCAAUAUUGUAAACCUCACAGAGGUAUGCUGUCUAUUCAGCUCCCUAUUCCGGCAGCUCACAUAUAGACUCCUAGCAUCUUACAGCUCAAUACUCAUUGCAGAUAUACAGUUUAUAGGCGUUACAGACGACAUAAACACAGAAAACCAAACUUAUGUCUGUUUGUUCAUCUCAUCAUCUGAGCAUGAUAUUGAUUCAUGAUAUUGACUAAUUUAAUGAUAUCUAUCUCUAGUGCACAGUAUGAAAAUCAUAUGCAAAACCAAAGGGUCUUGUCAGCCACUCAGAGCUAGCCUAUCUCAUUUCCGUAACGGUAGCAUAGCGCUCGGUAACGCUGCCACAGAGCUUUUAGAUCGGGCCUGCAAUAUGAAUAAGCUAAAUAAUUUGCGAGUCCCAAGGACAUUCACUGUUGCCGUGGCCACAAAGUAAACACACAUAGAAGGAAGAGUAUGAUGACAGCAUUUGUUUCUAACUCAUACGGUCCCUUGUCCAUUGUCCUCCUCCCAACACACUACUAAACCAAGUCAUUUACAGUCAGUCACCUGCAAUUGCAGAACUAAAACCAAACGGCUUAAAAAAGUGACUACGAAGUCCGUACAUCUGUUCUGUGCUUUCUGCAUUUCUUUCAUAUCACUGAUAUUUUUAGAUUAGAGUGUCUGUUUAGCAGUCAGAAGGGUUCGAUGGUAAUUCAUUGCAAGCAGCAAAAGCAAUUCAAUGGACGCUGUGCGAUUAUAACAUGGCUAUUUCUGAGCGGCCUUAUUGUAGAGAGACUUUGACAAAAUGGAAACAGAUGGCUAAUUGCCCUCUGAAAAUGCUAUAUUGCCAUAGAUUUUUUUUAAGACAACUAAAAGCCAAUGUAGACACAUUUCUCUGAAAUGUUUAUUAAGUGGACAUGGGCAGAGAAAACCAACUAGCCAAGCUAGCCUAGCUAGCUGGCUAACUAGCUAACUGACUAUAACCCUAACCAUAAC